AUUUUUCCCGGCCGUUUCUAGGCAGCCCUCCCCCUCCACCAGUUCGGACCCCCCCUUCCUCCUCCUCCCUUUUUCCUUCCCCCACCCCCCAGCGUCUGGGCUGAGUGAUCAAAAUAGAGGAAGAUGGUUGUCGCCGCAAUCCAGGGCUUUGCAAGGCGCGGUUUAAUGGGCCGCCUGUCAGCUUCCUGCUCGCAGGAGGAGGUGACAAGCCGAGCGAGCCGGGAAGGGCUUGGGGCCUGGCGGGCUGCACCCCGUGCCCGGGCCCCAGGUCCCCCACCUCCCCUGGGGCGCGCCUUCUAGAACGCGCGGUGGAGACGCCAAAACAGACAAGGGCUGCUUUUUCCCUCCUCCCCACCCCCCCCCCGCCUUAAAACAAAGCAGCGAUUCAUUCCCUCUCCCCCAGCAGCGCGGUUGGGUGGGACGGGCAGGCGAGAAGGCCGUUUUCCUAGCCCCGGUCUGCGGGUUCCUCCCUGAAACGCGGUGUCAGAUGGUUACUGAUUAAUAUUUUGGAGAGGCCUCGGCGGCGGGCAGCGGCAAAAUCCUUUCUGGGUUGAGUCGCCGGGAGCUGCCCGCAGCAACCUACUUGGCUGUGAGCGCGAAGAGUGCGGACGCGGUCGGAAGGGCAGUCCUGGGGGCCGGCACACGCUCUCCGCAGCCCGGCAAGGACCCGUGCCCAGCUAGGCAUUACGUACCCUCAAAAGGAAGCUUGGAGGGACAGAAAUCCUUGCCGAUCCUGCCUCGGAGAGCAACCGCGGUGAUUAGAUUUUAAUUAAAACAAGCUCUUUCGCCCCGAGCUGCGGACUCAGCGUUUUUGCAUCGCUCGUUCUAUUUUUUUUAAUCCAUUUUUAAGGCAACUUUUCUGGAGGGGGGGGAAUGAGCUAGUUAGCGCCCAUUCGUUCUAUUUUCUUUUCUCCACUUUUAGAAAAAGACGGGGGGUAAGCUUCGAGAGCGAACUUGGGGUGUCCAAUUUAAUUCCAGUAUAAAUUUGAGGAAAAAAGUUCAGCCUCUUGAGGGCAGUUUCAAGUUGCCCUUCCUGGAGCCUCCUGUGCUGGUUUCUAGGCUGCCCUCUUUAGGAAGCUGGAGCUCCGCGUGGGGGAGGGAGGGGUGCGAAGGAAAGAAAGGAACGAAAAUAGCCGGAGCCGAGGGGAAGGAGCGGCGGUGCAGGGCGCGCAGGUCUCAGUGGCGGCCGGGGCGGCGGGAGGCUCCCGGUGCAGCUCCGGGACGGCCAGGAGCAAAGACGGAGAGGAGAGGGGGGUUAGAGAAAGGAGGUAUUGUGUCUCUGUGCCUUAGGGGAGGAGGGGGUGACUGCAGAAGAGAAAUAAAUGCAAUUGAGCUGCAAGGGGCUGCUGCAGACCAAGGCAAGGGAAGGGGCCGUGCAUCAGGGCACAGCCCGGGUGGGCGCCGAGCGUUCUUAAGUCUUAUGCAGAGGCUUUUGUGGGUUCCUAGUAAACCCUCCCACGCCCAAGCCCCCAACGCUCAACAUUCAGACCCCAGACCCUGCUCCCCCCACUCCAUUAUCCCCGCGGGGGAUCUGGAAUGUUUUCUUUAAUACAUCUCAAGAAAAAAAUAGAGGGAGAGAGCUAGCGAGUUGGGGUGGGGAAUACAAAAGGCUUGCGGGGUGGAAAAAAACAAAAGCCUAUUUUUAUAAAUGUUUAAUGUUUUCACCCCUGGAUGCUCCAAGACGCCGUAAUUGUGACGGCGGGGUAUCUGUGCCAUAAAUCAUUUAGUUGCUAAUAAAAAUUCUGCCUGUUUGCCCUGGA